AACGAACGCUGGCGGCAUGCCUAACACAUGCAAGUCGAACGAGAACUUCGGGUCUAGGGGCGCACGGGUGCGUAACGCGGGGGAACCUGCCCUUAGGUUCGGAAUAACUCCCCGAAAGGGGUGCUAAUACCGGAUAAUGUCUUAGGACCAAAGAUUUAUCGCCUUUGGAUGGGGCCGCGUUGGAUUAGCUAGUUGGUAGGGUAAAAGCCUACCAAGGCGACGAUCCAUAGCUGGUCUGAGAGGAUGAUCAGCCACACUGGGACUGAGACACGGCCCAGACUCCUACGGGAGGCAGCAGUGGGGAAUAUUGGACAAUGGGCGAAAGCCUGAUCCAGCAAUGCCGCGUGAGUGAUGAAGGCCUUAGGGUUGUAAAGCUCUUUUACCCGAGAUGAUAAUGACAGUACCGGGAGAAUAAGCUCCGGCUAACUCCGUG
rnacentral:rRNA from 1 species